AACGCAGCGAAGGGCGAUAAGUAAUGUGAAUUGCAGAUUUUCAGUGAAUCAUCGAAUCUUUGAACGCACCUUGCGCUCCUUGGUAUUCCGAGGAGCAUGCCUGUUUGAGUGUCAUUGAAUUCUCAACCAUGUCUCGAUCGACUUCGAGGCAUGGCUUGGAGUUUGGGAGUUGCUGGCGUCAAGUCAGCUCUUCUGAAAUACAUUAGCGAUGGACGAGCAUGUCCUGAUGUGCACGGCCUACCGACGUGAUAAUGAUCGUCGUGGCUGGAGCGUUCGGACGUCGCAUCUUCAUGGUCUGUUUCGCUUCCAAUCGAGAGUACCCUUCGAACGCUUGACCUCAAAUCAGGUAGGACUACCCGCUGAACUUAA
rnacentral:rRNA from 1 species